rnacentral:rRNA from 1 species
GACGAACGCUGGCGGCGUGCUUAACACAUGCAAGUCGAACGGAAAGGCCCUGCUUUUGAGGGGUGUUCGGAAGGCGAAAGGGAGAGUAACAUGAGAGUAACUUGCCUUUGACAUAGGGAUGAGUUAAGGAAACUAGGGCUAAUUAGGGCCACGAGCUCCUGGUGGAUGGUGGGGGUUGGUAAGCUUCGGCGGUUGGGGAUGGACUCGCGGCUUAUCAGCUUGUUGGUGGGGUAGUGGCUUACCAAGGCUUGGACGGGUAGUCGGCCUGAGAGGGUGACCGGCCACAUUGGGACUGAGAUACGGCCCAGACUCCUACGGGAGGCAGCAGUGGGGAAUAUUGCACAAUGGGCGGAAGCCUGAUGCAGCAACGCCGCGUGCGGGAUGAUGGCCUUCGGGUUGUAAACCGCUUUCGCCUGGGACGAAGCGUGAGUGACGGUAAUGGGUGAAGAAGCACCGGCUAACUACGUG